CUAUCUGCCCUUUGGCGCCGAUCUCUGGAACUAUAACGUCAUUUCACAUCCCGGUCUCAAAGGAUAACCUUUUUAAGACCAUGAUUAAUGAAGAAGUAUAACUAAUCAGGAACUAUUAUGCACUGCCCAGUUUUUUUCAAAAGCAUUAUAUUAUAGUCACCCACUGGAGCGUCAUUUCACAUAAGGCUUCGUCGGGGAGGGGGGCAGACAAGGUUGCUAUCGCUUAUGUGUUAAUCCAACCUGACGUUUGUAACCCCCCCCCCACACACACACACAAAAUAAUAAUUACGUCCCUGAUCACCUAAGUCAUGUCUGCUAAAUCUUGCUUUAAGAUAUAUUGAUUGAAUCGCUCUAAAGCCUUGCUUAUUUUCAACAUAUAGGACCAACAAGUUGUUGAAACGUGCACUAAACAGAAUUUACGGUUACAGCGCCGUAAACGACGAUAUCCAGUGAUAACUUGGAGAAGAGCUUUUAGUUUGUAUGAAAAAACAAUGGAAUGCCUGAAUGACAACUGUGAAAAGCAGUUGACGAGAGGAGCUAAAUAAAAGUUGAGGAUAAGAAACAACUUCAGCACUCAUUUAGAUGUUUCUGGAAGUAGUCUUUUCUUUUCACAGUGAAAUUUAAUAAAUAUCUAAUUGGGAAUUAUUCUUGGUAUACUAUGAAAUUAGAGGCUUAAAAAUUAUUUUAAUACAACCAAACCAUAGUACUUGUACCAGGAGGCCUGUAGUAAAUUGA